GAAAAACAAUUGGAAUUUCAGUGAGAAACUGGAUGUAAUAUACGAAAUGGCUCAGAUCUACUCAGCUGGAACCCAGGAUAAUCAGCAAGUAAUACAGAGAGCUGCUUCCUUCAACAGCUGCAUUCACCAAAAAACCGAGGGCCGAUUAUGUGGAGAAAUAUCCUUCAGAGGUGACAGGAGAAGCAGAGGACUAAGCUUUCUUUUCCAAGUCAUCACCUGAAAGUUGCCCCUUCACUUCUGCUCACAUCCCAUUGGCCAGAGACUUGAAAGGAAGCUGGGCACAUGCCCUGCCAAACCUCUGGUGGUAAGGCUUUCCGUUACUAAAUGGAAGAAAGGGACACAGGGUGUUUUGGAGUUGACACCUAGCUCUUUGGAGGUGACUCAGAUCACUCAGGAGAGUCUGUAAGGCCCAGUAGGCAACACCCCAAUCCUCCGGUCUCUACCCGAGAAGCUAUUUGAGGGUUCUAUGUUGUGGGAAGUCAGGGACCCCGAAUGGAGGGACCAGCUGGAGCUGUGGCAGAAGAACAUAAAUUGUGAAAAUUUUAUUUUAAUAUGGACAUUUAUCAGUUCCCAAAUAAUGCUUUUAUAAUUUCUUAUGCCUGUCUUUACUUUACUCUCUUAAUCCUGUUAUCUUCAUAAGCUGAGCAUGUAUGUCACCUCAGGACCACUAUGAUAAUUGUGUUAACUGUACAAAUUGAUUAUAAAACGUGUGUUUGAACAAUAUGAAAUCAGUGCACCUUGAAAAAGAACAGAAUAACAGCAAUUUUUAGGGAACAAGGGAAGACAACCAUAAGGUCUGACUGCCUGCGGGGUCAGGCAAAAAGAGCCAUAUUUUUCUUCUUGCACAGAGCCUAUAUACGGACGUGCAAGUAGGGAAGAUAUCGCCGAAUUGCUUUCCUAGCAAGCAAUAUUAAUAAAGACCCUGGGAAAGGAAUGCAUUCCUGGGGGGAGGUCUAUAAAUGGCCGCUCUGGGAGUGUCUGUCCUACCUGGUAGCGAUAAGGAGCAUGUAUACGUCCGUAUCCUGAGAUACGUCCUGGUCUCCUGCAGUACCCUCAGGCUUACUAGGAUUGGGAAACUCCAUCCUGGUAAAUUUUUGGUCAGACCAGUUCUCUGCUCUUGGACCCUGUUUUCUGUUAAGAUGUUUAUCAAGACAGUACGUGCACCACUGAACAUAGACCCUUAUCAGGAGUUCUGCCUUUUGCCCUUUGUCCUGUUUCCUCAGAAGCAUAUGAUCUUUGUUCUGCCUUUAGCCCUUUGAAGCAUUUGAUCUUUGUGACCUACUCCCUGUUCGUACACUCCCUCCCCUUUUGAAAUCCUUAAUAAAAACCUGCUGGUUUUAAGGCUCAGGUGGGCAUCACGGUCCUACUGAUAUGUGAUGUCACCCUGGUGGCCCAGCUGUAAAAUUCAUCUCUUUGUACUCUUUCUCUUUAUUUCUCAGCCGGCCAACACUUAUGGAAAAUAGAAAGAACCUUCGUUGAAAUAUUGGGGGUGGGUUCCCCUGAUAUCUGGCCCCUAUCGGCUUCCCCCGAUAGUUCUAUCUAAAUUUUUAUCUGAAAAAUAAGUUUCUCUGCUGUAAAAAAGAAACUUUGAAAACCAUUUUACAGAAGACUGGUUUGCCAAGGUGGAAAAAGCAGCUCAUCAGUGAUGUGACUUAGCCAAAAGCACUGGUUAUACCUCUAUACCUCGGAGCUGACACUGAAAGCCCCAGCCAUAGUCUUUCUGCCCCAAGGAAAGCCUGGGGUGGGGGUGGGUGAUAUUGUCAAGAGCCAGGCCCCAGCUCCUCAUACACACAGCUCAUUUGCUCUCCCUCCCAACCCCCACCUUCAUACUUCUUCCAUACGCAUACCAAAGAAAAUAAGAAUCUCAAGGUUGGAAAAUCCCAUUUUGCUUCAAGUGAAGUCACUGGGUUGUCCCCAUGAAAUGUCUCCACAAUGGGUGUGCUAGACCUUUACUCUCUGUGGCACCGCCAAGACCCCCUCACCCUGCCAGAGCCCUCUGAAGUGUACUCAGAAUGGAGGGGCUGGAAGUGGGGCCCGUGGUCCUGGUAUUCAGCCUCCCCUUCUGACACAAGAAUUAUCGUGGAACAACUUGUGUGACCGAUCAACUGGUCUCUCCAUCUUUAAGCCAUUGUCUUGUCGACUCUGUUACUGCAGAGUUUGGAGAGGUCUCAUGGCUUCUCGGAUCCUAUUUCCUGAGCUUCCCUGAAGCCAACUUCUGGCCACUGGUAUGUGAUGCGAGCACAGUGCCUCCUCCUGCUCCUCCAGGAAGCCUCUGCUGAUUGAACGCAGGCCAGAUGGCAGGAUCUGGGGCAACCUUCUUAGAUCACGGGAAGGAAGAGGCAUAAGAGGGGAGUGGGUAACAAAAUAGUAAGAGCUCCCUCCCUGAUGACUACAGAGCCAUCCUGGCAGCCCUGGGCCUCCAUUUCAGACUUUCAUCUUGUCUAAGCCACCACCAUCAGGGUCUCAGUCAGUCAUCAUUCCAAUUUACUUGGGUGGCUGGGUGAGGGCGGAAUACUACCUUCCAGCUGUCUGAGAUUAAGCAGAACAGCAGCUAUAGCAGUAACAGCAGAUCUCCUUCAGUAGCUUGCCAUAGGGAAGAGGGUCCAGCGUGAACCGAACUCAACUUCCAUUUGUGUAGAGGUAGCUGGGCCUUUAAGGUUAGAGUGAAGGAGCAGGCAGGGAGCGAUGGUGGGUGGGGGUUGAACAAAGUGGAGAUUCACAAAAGCAGACCAGGGCGGGUCACGUGAUUAGAUGAGCUGUGGGGGCGGCAGCGGCAGCCUCCUACCCUCCUCACCUUCCUGCGCUGGCUGCAGCCAAGAGUUCUUUUGACAGCCUUGAGCUUUCCCGGGCAGGAACUUCCUGGGGCUGCAGUCAGCCUAGAAACAUGGCUUUGGGCUGUGGAAACGCUGCUACUGUGGAAGUCUCUUAUCGCGGCGUGGACGCGGUCGCUACGCGCCCAGCCUUCUGUGGUUCUCACAGCCCGCCCCCACUUCCAUCUCGGGGACCUUUGCGGGGAGGCCUCAGGUCAGCUCCGCCCUUGGGAUGGCGGGAGAGAAAUCGGACCCAGGGCCUCUGAGCUCGCAGCCCCGACACGUCCCGCCCUCUCCUGCGCUUGCGGGAGCCAGGACGCUUCGGAGCGAAAUCUUUUGGACACAGGCCGGGGGAAGAGGAGCCGUAGGCGCCAUCACCCAGCUUCCUGGUUUCAGUCAUGAUUUUUUUUUGAGACGGAGUUUCGCUCUUUUUGCCCAGGCUGGAGUGCAAUGGCGCCAUCUCGGCUCACUGCAGCCUCCGCCUCCCGGUUUGAAGGGAUUCUCCGGCCUCAGUCCGCCGUGUUUUUAUAAAUUAGAACGGGCCUAUGCGUCAAGCGCGGGUCUCGCGGCUGCGGAGAGAGGCCCAGCAGGGGGCGGGGACGCCAGGAGGCAGGGCCUGGCCGAACUGCGCACGCCCUGUGGUUCUGGCUACGGGUGCCCGGACCUGCCCAACAACUCUUCUCCAUUCGCGACCUCCAAACCCCUACCCGGUCCGCAGGGCACUUUCCUCCGCUCUCUCAGGCACGUCCUUGACCUCAGUUGCCACGUGCACAUGCUGGUGCCUUCCAGGUCGGUCUUUCUCCACCAGUGUCCACCUGGAACUUUCUUCCUUUUCGUCCUUUGCUGGCCUAACCCCUACUCGGCCUCGGCCCUCAGCUGCCGGCUCUAACAAUGCCUCUGUCCUUCCCAGACCCCCAUGACCAGGUCAGGCUCUGCUCCCUGCGUUCGUCUCUCCUUGCUUCCCUCCUCCCUCCCCUCUCCCCCUCCCCGGGGCUUCCCCAUCAGUGUGGACUCCGACCUCAUAAGGACCUGUCUAACGGUCUCUGCUGGAUGGAAGCGCAAAACAGACCCUCUCACUCUUGCCUUAUCCCCAGCACCAAGGAGGGGCUCAGUAAAUAUCAGCUCGAUAAGCAAAAGUAAAAACUUGAGUGGAUGCUGGAAAGACGACGGGAGGGCGGCAGCAGGAGGAAAGUGGGGCCCAUGAGGUCAGCUCCUCUUCCAUGAAGUUUGACAGUGAAGGACGCAGAGGAAUAGAGGAGCCGUGAGACAGCACAGCAGAGUGAAGGGAUGCCUGACAACACUGAGGUCAAGCCCAGCAAGUUUGAAAGUGGAAGCUAAGGAGCCCUACGGGACAAAGUGGGUGAAGGCGGUGAGGGCAGUAGAGUUGAAGGGCGGGUCCUGAAUCACAAAAGGCAGCGGGAAAGAAUGCCCGUCCAAAGGGACAAAGGAAGCAGGCAUCUGCAGGUCUGUUGUACCUGCCCUGAACCUGUUGUCAAUACAUGAUCGAAGGGGAGAGGAAAAAACUGUGGUUGCUUAUCUCAGGUGGCCUCAGUCUUGUUGGGCCAGUACAAGGUUAGGUCUUCUGAGAAAUGGAUAUUGGGAGUCAAGGGCCUAUGAAGAAAUACGCUUGCUUAUAUAUUAGUUAGGAUCAACUAAAUACCGUAAGAAGCAGAGCCCAAAUGCAAAGGCUCCACAGUAUAACCCCUCCCCUACCGAAAUCUAAUUGUUGCUCACUGGACAGUCCAGGAUGAGUGUUCAGGUCAGCGGGUGGUUCCUUUCUUUUUGGUCAUUCAGGCACUGCUUUGGUUUGAAUGUCUGUCGCCUUCAAAACUCAUCCUGAAACUUAAUUGCCAAUGUGGCAGUAUUGAGAAAGGGGCUUUUAAGAGAUGAUCCCUGGGUCAUGAGGGCUCUGUCCUCAUGAAUGGACUAAUCAUUCGGGGUUAAUGGAUUAAUGGAUUAUCACAGGAGUGGGACUGGUGGCUUCUUAAGAAGAGAAAGAGACCUGAGGAAGCACACUGAGCCCCUCACCAUAUGAUGCUCUGUACCACCCCGAGACCGUAGAGUCCCCACCAGCAAGAAGGUACUCACCAGAUGUGACCCCUUGACCUUGGGCUUGUCAGCCUCCAGAGCUGUAAGAAAUAAAUUCUUUUUCUUUAUAAACUGUCCAGUUUCAGGUAUUCUGUUAUAAGCAACAGAAAACAAAGUAAGAUAGGCACCUAGGCUUUGCCAUCCCCUAACGUCCUAAGAUAGGGGAAAGAAAAUGGAGGCGCAAGAAGAGGACAUUCUCGUGGACCUAGCAGGCUGGAGUAUAGUGGCAUGAUCAUAGAUCACUGCAGCCUCAAACUCCUGGGCUCAAGCAAUCCUCCCACCUCAGCCUCCAUAUAGCUGGUGGGGAUCAAGUUUCUAACACAUGAAUCUUGGGAGACACAUUCAGACCAUCACAGUGGCCUUAUAAAAAGAGACACAAGGGCUUGCUCUCUGCCAUGUGAGUAUACCACAAGAAGACUGUCCUCAGCAAAUCAGAGAGCAGGUGGACCCUCAUCAGACACCAGAUGUGCCUGCACCUUUAUCUUGGACUUGCCAGCCUUCAGAACAGUAAGAAAGAAAUGUGUGUUGUUUAAGCCGCCCAGUCUAUGGAAACUUGUUAUAGCACCCCACUAAGAGACCCCAAGAUAUUUAAAAACUCAUCAGCACCUGCCUUCUGCAUCUGGAUCCUGAUCUUCUGGCGGGUUUACCAGUUACUUGCAGAGUGUCCCUGUGAUAGUUUUAGGUGUCAACUUGACAGGACUGAGGGAUGCCUAGAUGGCUGGGGAAGCACUGUUUCUGAGAAGGACCAUGUUUUUGGAAGAGACUGUUUUAUGGGUGAAUUUCAGGGGACACAUUCAUCAUGGCAGUGGCAUUAUAAAGAGAGACACAAAAGCGUGUUCUCUCUCUCCGCCAUGUGAGACUACCACACAAAGACUGCCAUCUGCAAACCAGAAGCAGGUGGGCUCUCCUCAGACACCAGAUCUGCCUGCACCUUGAUCUUGGCCUUGCCAGCCUUCAGAACUCUAAGAAAGAAAUGGUAGCAUGGCUUGGUCUAAGUUGGAAGGCCUGAGAAACAAGGAAGCAUAUAGUGGAACUGAGUUCAAGGAUAAAGACUUGAGAAUACCUACUCAGUGGACUGAGUAGGGAAGAUCAACCCUCAAUGUAGGCAGGCACUAUCCAAUCACCUGAGGGCCCAGAUGGAACAAAAAGGUGGAAGAAGGGUGAAUUCUCUCUUCCAGAGCUGUGACACCCUUCUCCUCAUGCCCUUGUACCACACAACUCUAGGUCCUUUGGCCUUUGGACUCUGACACUUGCACCAGUGGCCCUCUGGGGCUCUCAAGCCUUUAGCCUUGAACUGAGUUACACCAUGUGCUUCCUUGUUUCUCAGGCCUUCCAACUUGGAUCAGGGCAUGCCACCAGCUUCUCUGAUUCUCCAGCUUGCAGAUGGCAUAUUGUGACCCUGACAUUUAAUAACUACGACUUUGGUCUUAAGCAAUUUUCUUCCUCUGUGGAUUGAUAUUUGGAUAUCAAUGUGGAUAAUAAUUUCUCACCAAGGUAACUGUUGUGAGGUAAAAAUGAGUUAACAUAAGUAAAACCUAGCACAUGCAAACCAUCCGAAAUGGUUAAUACUUACUAUUAGUACUUGAAGAAAUAAAUGUUUUUGACAAUAAACUUCCUGUGCAGUUUUCCUCAGCCAGUUUCAACUGAGCCGAUCAUUUAUGUGACAGUUUCAUUACCAAACUGAUGU